UUGAGUUUUAUACUUUGGCAAGUGUGGGCUGAGACAAAAGAGGAAGAAGACAGAAGCUAGAAAGUUAAAAGCGGGGAGGCAGAGGUUCCAGAAACAAAGUUACACAGAUCCGGGCCGGGACAGACACUGACGAGAGGGAGAGGAAAUCAACCUUGAAGAAGGCAAAAGAAAGGGGAGAGGCGAAGACAGCACGCUGUGCACACAGGCUCCUCGGGGCUUCGUCUCCGGCCUGUAGCCUUCUGAGCAUUGUUGCUAACUGGUCUAAGGCCUCCCGCAUUUCUGAGACAAAGCGGAAUACAACUGCCCCCAUCCGCCACCAGCCUUGGCAAGGCCUCUCACUCUGAGGUCCUUUCUAAGACGCAGGAGCCACAGCUGCAUGAGGAACUCACGACUUUGCUCAGGGGGAGAGGGAGACAAGCAGGAAGCAGCAGGCCAGAAAAAUGUUCCUCCCCCAGGAAGCGAAGCGCCCGCCCCGGCCACAGACCCGCUUCUGGGUGCAGCGCAGGAUGAGGAAGGUCUCGAUGCUGUGCUCCUUGAGGCCAGCAUGCUUUGUGAGCACCUGGACUAAGGGUGGCUAACACAGUGGCUCCUCCCACUGAUCCAUGGAGCGGUGCACAGGAUCUGACAAGUGAGGAAUUUCUACUUCAGCUCUGCUCCCCAAGAUCAACCAACCCGUGGCCCCCUGCAGACCAACAGCCCACUGCCCUAACCAUCCCAUGGACAGGUGUCCGCGGGGUGGGACAGCUGCCAACACGCAGAGCUCUGUGAAACUCUUCAGGGUGGCCAAGGAUAAGCCUCCUUUCCUCACCUCAUGGAUUCUUCCCAAGGAAAGCCCAAUGAAGUUGCGUGUGUGUGUGUGUGUGUGUGUGUGUGUGUGUGAGAUCCCUGUCCCUUGCCCUCCUGCACCUCCUGGGUAGCCCUGCUGCCUGUACGACCUAAUAUGACAUGGCCCCUUCUCUUGGGAACUGUCUCAAUCCUUUCAAGGCAAAUCAUCUCCUGACCAUACCUGAAUCACAAUAAAUCCUGCAUUUUAAAAUACACUGCUUUCAGCUCCUCACUGUCCUG